rnacentral:rRNA from 1 species
AGUCGAGAAUUUUUCUCAAUGGGCGCGAGCCUGAAGGAGCGACGCCGCGUGGGGGAUGAAGGGUUUCGAUCCGUAAACCCCUGUCAUUCGUGAACAAUGGUUGCGAUUGAACAUUUCGCAACUUGAUAGUAACGGAAGAGGAAGGGACGGCUAACUCUGUGCCAGCAGCCGCGGUAAUACAGAGGUCCCGAGCGUUGUUCGGAUUCACUGGGCGUAAAGGGUGCGUAGGUGGCCUGAAAAGUUUGAUGUGAAAGCUCAGGGCUUAACCCUGAAAUGGCAUUGAAUACUGUCGGGCUGGAGGUUUGGAGGGGGGACUGGAAUUCUUGGUGUAGCAGUGAAAUGCGUAGAUAUCAAGGGGAACACCAGUGGCGAAGGCGAGUCCCUGGACAACACCUGACACUGAGGCACGAAAGCUAGGGGAGCAAACAGGAUUAGAUACCCUGGUAGUCCUAGCCCUAAACGGUGCGCGCUUGCUGUAAGAGGAAUCGACCCCUCUUGUGGCGAAGCUAACGCGAUAAGCGCGCCGCCUGGGGAGUACGGUCGCAAGAUUAAAACUCAAAGAAAUUGACGGGGGCCUGCACAAGCGGUGGAGUAUGUGGCUUAAUUCGAUGCAACGCGAAGAACCUUACCUGGCCUUGACAUGCAUUUGGUAGAACCAUGAAAGUGGGACGACCCCGCAAGGGGAGGAUGCACAGGUGCUGCAUGGCUGUCGUCAGCUCGUGUCGUGAGAUGUUGGGUUAAGUCCCGCAACGAGCGCAACCCUUGUGUCCUGUUGCCACCCCCACGAGAGUGGGGAGCACUCUGGACAGACUGCCUCGCUUAAACGGGGAGGAAGGUGGGGAUGACGUCAAGUCAGUAUGGCCCUUACGGCCAGGGCUGCACGCGUACUACAAUGCCCGGUACAGAGGGAAGCAAGACCGUCAGGUGGAGCAAAUCCCAGAAAACCGGGCCCAGUUCAGAUUGUCGUCUGCAACUCGACGGCAUGAAGUUGGAAUCGCUAGUAAUGGCGCAUCAGCUACGGCGCCGUGAAUACGUUCCCAGGCC